AAAAAUGUUAGUUCUUUUCCACCACUGUUUACUCAUUCGUUUUACAACUGCUCAACUUUGUUCUGGUCCAGCAGGACUCUCUUGUACAAGCCCCAACAGCUCCAUGCCCAUCCCUGCCCAGGGUCCAGCCUUGUCUUAGUAAACAUUCAUCUCCCUGACUCAGGCUGCUGCUUAGAAAUUCUGUUUCGGUUGCAGUUCCAUUGUGUGGAGCCAGUACUACAACUUUUCCUCCUGCAUUCAUUUCUCUUCCUGCUGCCUUGUGAAGAAGGUGCCUUGCUUCCCCUUCACCUUCUACGGUGAUUGCAAGUUGCCUGAGGAUUCCCCAGCCAUGUGAAACUAGACUAUGUAAGAAACUGGUGAUAUAACAAGGAAACCAGAGAGACAAAGUGUCUGUUCUCAGGGAAUGGCUUGAACAUAUUAGGACUAAGUAACAUUUUUUCUUUAAGAUCCCAGUGUUCAGAAAAGGAAGAGAGGAUUCAUAGGAGAUCCACGCACUUUGUAAGAGAACCAUAUUGUUGAAGUUCUAUCAGAUUGAACUUAAAAGGACAAUGACAAUUCAAAAUGAAAAGAGCUCUCAGGACUCCAAACUUUUCUUGGAUAAGAAGAAAGCUGUAAAACCUAUUCAACUGAAAACACAAGCUAUUUGUUUAAAAAAAAGGAAGGAUGACAGAGUAAAAAGUCAAGAAUCACAAAGUCCCAGGCAGCAGGACUGCAUCAUCAUCAAAGAAAUGGUGAUAUAUGCCUAGCUGGACUUCAGAAUUACUAGGAAGCAGUGACUUCUAUGUGCUUUCAGCUCCCCUCCCACCACUGAAUUUGAAUGCAUGUGUUUAUUGUAUUUAUCUUAUCACCAUUAGAUAGAUAUGUAGGAAAUAAUUUGUGUCUUUAGUUCACAGAGUUUGAGAGAAACUGUAUUCAAGUUGCUGAAACCAAGAAGCUACACUCACGAGUCUCACCUAAACUCGAAUCUGAUUUAGAUGACAUCAUCCUGGACUUUGAGUUGAUGAAACCUUGGAGGUCUUGGGAGUAAAGCAAGUGUGAUUUGCAUAUGAUGGAUAUGAAUUGUAAUGGCCAGAGCAUGGCUGUGGUAGGUAACAUCUAGAGAUGGCCACCAUUAUUUUUUUUUUCCUCUAUCCGCACAUACUACUUCUCCUGUACUCUUGAAACUGGGAUGAAAUUAGCAACUUUGUUAACCAAUAUAAUGUGCCACAGAAGUGACUUUUGCGACUUGUGAGGUUAGAUCUUAAGAAGUCUUGUAUCUUCUUUCUGGAUCACUUGGAAUGCUUACUACGGGAACCAAGCCACUGUUCUAUGAGAAGUGCAAGUCACAUGGAGAAACCAUGUUUUGGCAAGCUAGUCUGCAUCUUCAGAGAUGAAAACUCCCAUUUUAGGGAACCAAGACUGAAUUCCAUAAUUUACAUGGAUGUUUGGAAGGUGUCUGCAACUUAAUCUGUGUUCGUUUCUGAGAUGUUGGGCAACUCCUUCUUGGAAGAUGUGGUAAUGGUCUCUUCGAAAAGAAAAUAAUCAUCUGAGUUUUGGCCAAAAUAGUUGAUCGGAUUACCUAUGAAAAUGACUCUCACCCAACUACAAGAAUGUUAUGAUGUAGAAACUCUAAAUAUAUGAGUAAUUAACUAUACAACACUCCAUCCCCAUGUGAAAAUCUUUAAUCUUUUAAGAUACUGAAAUUUUGUGUAUGUCUCAUAAUUUUCUGUAUAUGGUCAAUGAGUUUUGCCUUAGCCAUAAGUGGUCUGUCUGAAAUCUUCUCUAUUAUUUGUGCAUUUUCUUCCUGAUGUACCAAGCCUAGUCUGUUUGUUUUUUCCUAAGAGAAAAGCAGAUGAUUCAACUGUGUAUUUCUCAGUGUUGAUAUUGUGGUUUGAGGUAUUUCAUAAUCUUGAGUAAAAUCUUGUCAAUUUUAUGCUAUGCCUUGUGGGAACAUAUUUUUACUUUUAAGUCUCUUUGGCAAGUGGAGCUUCCUUUGUGUUUCCUCACCAAAUGUAUUCCCCAUUGUUUUCUGAUUAAUUCUUUUUCAGAAUGUUUACUCCUUCUUACCUCAAUGUCAUUACUUUUCAGUCUUGGCUUUGGGUAAACCUAGGACAAGAAUUGGAUAUCCAAAGCCAAUUUCAAUAUAAAAACUAUAAUAUCUAUCAAAAUCUAUGUAAAAUCCUGUGUAUAUUUCUCUUCUUUGUUGAACAGGGGCUUAUAAUCAUGUAGGUAAAUACACGUGGUUUUGAUUUCAGCACUGAUUACUGAAGAUUUGUCUUCCAUUCUUCUGGGCCAGGCCCAUACACAACCAUAGUUAGAAGUAAAAACUAUUUGUUAUACCUGGAAUGCCUUUCCUUUCAAUCUCUGAAUGUCUAAAAUUACUUUUUCUUUGAAGACCACCUCAGGUGACCCUACUGUGGGGAAAAUGCCUGAAUUAUCUUUGUAAUCCCAGCUCAGCCACUUAAAGAUUGUGUAAGUUUAGUGUCAGCAUAUUACUUAAGUUCUUUUAGAUUUAGUUUCCUCAUAUGUAAGCUGGGGAUAAUAAUACCUACCUCAUAGAAAAUGAAUGAGAAUCAAGUUAUAUAAUAUAUGAACAACACUUGACACUGUGUGUGAACACUCAAUACAUGUAAAUCAUUAUUAUUAGCAAAAUGAUUAUUAGGUUCUCAUGCUAAUCCACAAUUUUUAUUGGCAGAUAUCCAUUAGUUUAUAGUUAAUGUUAUUCAUAAUCUUUUCUUCAUAUUCAAAUAGGAAGAGAUGACUUCUCAAUCUAGUUAAUCCUGGAUGUGUAUUUCUCUUAAUUUAUUGAGUGUAAAAUGCUUAUUUAUAUACAUACAAUUUCCCUUAUUAGUGAACAUCUAGAAGGCAGAAUGGUACUUCAUUUCUUUCUGUAUGUUUAGCACCAAGGACAGUACCUGGCACAUAGAAGAUACAUAUUAAAAACAAAUAAAACAACUCUUAAUGGAUCUCAUUUUAAAAAAAUUCUCGGUUAAUUAUAAAGGCUCUAGUAAACCAAAUAAUUGUAUGUUAACUUAUUUACUUUUAUUACUGUGUUUAUUUUCUCCAACUGCUUCAUCAUACAAAGUAAACACCUGAAUGUAAGCUGCAUGAGGGCAAGAGCUGUGUCUUGUUUACUGCUCUCAAGAACAUUUGAGCAAAGUGCCUGGCACAUGGCAGACACUCAAUAAGUUACAAUUAAUACUCAAUGUAUGAACUGAUCUAUACUUAGAAUUGACUAAGAAGAAUAAGUCUUACACAGACUCAGUCUCUGAGAACUUGAAAAUCUAAGUUUGCAUAUCUCUGCUGUUGUGUUUUCAGGUUACUCAGUAGAAAACCAAGUUAUUUACACAUCCUCAAGUGUCUCAAGGUUAAAUCUUCCAUGCAUAAAAUAUCUGGGCGAUUGAUUGUGUUUCUUACUUUGCUCCUAAGUAUGUUAGCAUCAUAUAGGCAUAGCCUAAGCCAGACCAAAAUGAAUUCAUUGAUUGACUCAACAAAUGUUUAUGGAUCUCAG
rnacentral:lncRNA from 1 species